GCCACUCCUAAAUGUGCUGGUGCGGCUGCUGUGUCACACGUGUGUGCAAUAGGUAGCAGAGAGGUGAGUGGCUGUGUCUAUACUCAGUGUUCUGAUCUGUGAACAUCUGAAUGGUUCGUAGCCUAACAUU
rnacentral:snoRNA from 1 species